CUACGGGGGGCAGCAGUGAGGAAUAUUGCACAAUGGGGGGAACCCCGAUGCAGCAACGCCGCGUGGAGGAUGACGCAUUUCGGUGUGUAAACUCCUUUUAUAUGUCAAGAAAAUGACGGUAGCAUAUGAAUAAGCACCGGCUAGACUCCGUGCCGGCAGCCGCGGUAAUACGGAGGGUGCAAGCGUUACUCGGAAUCACUGGGCGUAAAGGACGCGUAGGCGGGUUGGAAAGUCAGGUGUGAAAUCCUACAGCUUAACUGUAGAACUGCACUUGAAACUUCUAAUCUAGAGUAUGGGAGGGGGAGAUGGAAUUAGUGGUGUAGGGGUAAAAUCUGUAGAUAUCACUAGGAAUACCUAAAGCGAAGGCGAUCUCCUGGAACAUUACUGACGCUAAGGCGUGAAAGCGUGGGGAGCAAACAGGAUUAGAUACCCGAGUAGUC
rnacentral:rRNA from 1 species